UCUUGUGGGUGAGCAAAGAAAGUGGUUUCUUGAUAUGGAAUCUACUCCUGGUAAAGAUGCUAUGAC
rnacentral:pre_miRNA from 1 species